GCGGGAAUAGCUCAAUUGGUAGAGCACUAGCCUUCCAAGCUAGUCGUCGCGGGUUCGAAACCCGUUUCCCGCUCCA
rnacentral:tRNA from 1 species